rnacentral:misc_RNA from 1 species
CACGUAGGGGGCGAGCGUUGUCCGGAUUUAUUGGGCGUAAAGAGCUCGUAGGCGGUUUCGUAAGUCGGAUGUGAAAACUCCAGGCUCAACUUGGAGACGCCAUUCGAUACUGCGAUGACUCGAGUCCGGUAGGGGAGUGUGGAAUUCCUGGUGUAGCGGUGAAAUGCGCAGAUAUCAGGAGGAACACCGGCGGCGAAGGCGGCACUCUGGGCCGGUACUGACGCUGAGGAGCGAAAGCGUGGGUAGCAAACAGG